UACAAGUGAUGCAGGACCCACGAGGAGGUCGUACUGUCCGCACCACCGCAGGUGACUACAGACGACUAGCGGAUACUCUGCGAGAGAUUUUCGUCUGAGGCUUUUUAGGUAAUAUUUAAAUAUUUACAAUAUCUUAAGGUAACAAUUAAAUUUACAAUUAAUAACAAUGUAUUAUAAAUAAUGUGUUCAGAAGAGAAGCAGAAUAAAUUCUGCGAAUAGGGGAAAGUUAGAAGUGAACCACGUAGCUGGUUCAAAAUCAUUUGUACGACAUCGUCACGACAUGUGAGAUUCCGUCAUCGGCCAGGAGCCUGGACCAGUAGACCUCUACAGAGGGACUCACUAUCGGCAGGCGACGAGAUCUUGGGUUCAUCCUAGAGCCAGCGAGAAUUGGGCGGUGGUGAACACCAUACGCAGUCAGCCCACUCCCGAUGGU